rnacentral:rRNA from 1 species
UACGUAGGGUGCGAGCGUUAAUCGGAAUUACUGGGCGUAAAGCGUGCGUAGACGGUUAUUUAAGUCGGGUGUGAAAGCCCCGGGCUCAACCUGGGAAUUGCAUUCGAGACUGAAUAGCUAGGGUACGGUAGAGGGAAGUGGAAUUUCCGGUGUAGCGGUGAAAUGCGUAGGUAUAUGAAGGAACAUCAGUGGCGAAAGCGACUUCCUGGACCAGUACCGACGUUCAGGCACGAAAGCGUGGGGAGCAAACAGG